rnacentral:piRNA from 1 species
UGAUCCAAAUGAAUUCAUUUAUAUUAUGCUU